CACCUCUCCUCCACAUCUCUGCCAUCACCCACGCAGCUCCUCUCAGCGCCGCCUCGGGUCCCCAUGACAACCCCUCCCAAGGGAAUGCUUCACCCCACCAUCAUGCUGCUUCUCCCUCAGUCUGACAAAUUUAAUUUGUGAAUCCUUUGGGCAAGGGCUAUAAUCUGAAUUCCAUGUUUUCUAUACUGACAGCCGGAUGCAAGCUGGCCAUACCAGAGAGACGAACCACAUGAUUUGAGUCACAUGGUAUCAGUUGUCUGAGUUCAACCAUAUAAGCAAGAAAUCAGUCAAUUAUGCCUGUGGAAUAAAACUCCAUUAAAACUCUGGACACAAAAGCUCAGCUGAUCUUCCCUGGUAAUACUCCCGGCAUAUUGACAAACAUCAGUGCUGGGAGGUUAGUGGGUCAUUACUCCAUGGGAGAGUACAAAAAAAGCUUUGUGUUUGGAGCUCUCCCAAACU